UAGUCCACGCAGUAAACGAUGGAUACUCGUUGUCGGGUAGGUUACUACUCGGUGACUAAGCUAACGCAUUAAGUAUCCCGCCUGGGGAGUACGAUCGCAAGGUUGAAACUCAAAGGAAUUGACGGGGGCCCGCACAAGCGGUGGAGCAUGUGGUUUAAUUCGAUGCAACGCGAAGAACCUUACCUGGGCUUAAACUGCUAGGGAACGAUCCAGAGAUGGUGAGGUCCUUCGGGACUCUAGUAGAGGUGCUGCAUGGCUGUCGUCAGCUCGUGUCGUGAGAUGUUCGGUUAAGUCCGGCAACGAGCGCAACCCCUAUCUUUAGUUGCCAGCACGUAAUGGUGGGAACUCUAGAGAGACUGCCUGGGUUAACCAGGAGGAAGGUGGGGAUGACGUCAAGUCCUCAUGGCCCUUACGUCCAGGGCUACACACGUGCUACAAUGGUAGGUACAACGAGACGCUAACCCGCGAGGGCAUGCAAAUCUCUUAAAACCUAUCUCAGUUCGGAUUGCAGG
rnacentral:rRNA from 1 species